GUCGUCGCUUUGGAGCUUCGUUCUCGUAACUUUUACUUCACCCCUCAGGCCUGCAAAGCCAAGUAUGAGGAUUUACAAAAGCGUUACGCGGGCUGCAAUGCUUGGUUUGAAGAGCUAAGAAAGAGACGAGUUGAAGAACUGAAGCGAGAAUUGGAGAAAUCGGAAAGCUCAAUUGGGUCUCUCAUCACAAAGAUUGAAAGCUUGAAGGCUGAGAAAGAACGGUCUUCUCAGAUUAAUUAUGGUUCCUGUAUUCACACUGAA
rnacentral:misc_RNA from 1 species